GACGAACGCUGGCGGCGUGCCUAAUACGUGCAAGUAGAACGCUGAAGCUUGGUGCUUGCACCGAGCGGAUGAGUUGCGAACGGGUGAGUAACGCGUAGGUAACCUGCCUGGUAGCGGGGGAUAACUAUUGGAAACGAUAGCUAAUACCGCAUAAGAGUAGAUGUUGCAUGACAUUUGCUUAAAAGGUGCAAUUGCAUCACUACCAGAUGGACCUGCGUUGUAUUAGCUAGUUGGUGAGGUAACGGCUCACCAAGGCAACGAUACAUAGCCGACCUGAGAGGGUGAUCGGCCACACUGGGACUGAGACACGGCCCAGACUCCUACGGGAGGCAGCAGUAGGGAAUCUUCGGCAAUGGACGGAAGUCUGACCGAGCAACGCCGCGUGAGUGAAGAAGGUUUUCGGAUCGUAAAGCUCUGUUGUAAGAGAAGAACGAGCGUGAGAGUGGAAAGUUCACACUGUGACGGUAUCUUACCAGAAAGGGACGGCUAACUACGUG
rnacentral:rRNA from 1 species